AGAGUUUGAUCCUGGCUCAGGAUGAACGCUGGCGGCGUGCCUAAUACAUGCAAGUCGAGCGAACGGACGAGAAGCUUGCUUCUCUGAUGUUAGCGGCGGACGGGUGAGUAACACGUGGAUAACCUACCUAUAAGACUGGGAUAACUUCGGGAAACCGGAGCUAAUACCGGAUAAUAUUUUGAACCGCAUGGUUCAAAAGUGAAAGACGGUCUUGCUGUCACUUAUAGAUGGAUCCGCGCUGCAUUAGCUAGUUGGUAAGGUAACGGCUUACCAAGGCAACGAUGCAUAGCCGACCUGAGAGGGUGAUCGGCCACACUGGAACUGAGACACGGUCCAGACUCCUACGGGAGGCAGCAGUAGGGAAUCUUCCGCAAUGGGCGAAAGCCUGACGGAGCAACGCCGCGUGAGUGAUGAAGGUCUUCGGAUCGUAAAACUCUGUUAUUAGGGAAGAACAUAUGUGUAAGUAACUGUGCACAUCUUGACGGUACCUAAUCAGAAAGCCACGGCUAACUACGUGCCAGCAGCCGCGGUAAUACGUAGGUGGCAAGCGUUAUCCGGAAUUAUUGGGCGUAAAGCGCGCGUAGGCGGUUUUUUAAGUCUGAUGUGAAAGCCCACGGCUCAACCGUGGAGGGUCAUUGGAAACUGGAAAACUUGAGUGCAGAAGAGGAAAGUGGAAUUCCAUGUGUAGCGGUGAAAUGCGCAGAGAUAUGGAGGAACACCAGUGGCGAAGGCGACUUUCUGGUCUGUAACUGACGCUGAUGUGCGAAAGCGUGGGGAUCAAACAGGAUUAGAUACCCUGGUAGUCCACGCCGUAAACGAUGAGUGCUAAGUGUUAGGGGGUUUCCGCCCCUUAGUGCUGCAGCUAACGCAUUAAGCACUCCGCCUGGGGAGUACGACCGCAAGGUUGAAACUCAAAGGAAUUGACGGGGACCCGCACAAGCGGUGGAGCAUG
rnacentral:rRNA from 1 species